CCUACGGGAGGCAGCAGUGGGGAAUAUUGCACAAUGGGCGAAAGCCUGAUGCAGCGACGCCGCGUGAAGGAAGAAGUACCUCGGCAUGUAAACUUCUAUCAGCAGGGAAGAAAAUGACGGUACCUGUCUAAGAAGCCGCGGCUAACGACGUGCCAGCAGCCGCGGUACUACGGAGGGGGCAGGCGUUAUCCGGAUUUACUGGGUGUAAAGGGAGCGUAGGCGGUUUAGCAAGUCAGAAGGGAAAGUCCGGGGCUCAACUCCGGGACUGCUGUUGAAACUGUUGAACUAGAGUGCGGGAGAGGUAAGUGGAAUUCCUGGUGUAGCGGUGAAAUGCGUAGAUAUUAGGAAGAACACCAGUGGCGAAGGCGGCUUACUGGAACGUAAAUGACGCUGAGGCUCGAAAGCGUGGGUAGCAAACAGGAUUAGAUACCCGAGUAGUC
rnacentral:rRNA from 1 species